GACGAACGCUGGCGGCGUGCUUAACACAUGCAAGUCGAACGGAAAGGCCCUGCUUUUGUGGGGUGCUCGAGUGGCGAACGGGUGAGUAACACGUGAGUAACCUGCCCUUGACUUUGGGAUAACUUCAGGAAACUGGGGCUAAUACCGGAUAGGAGCUCCUGCUGCAUGGUGGGGGUUGGAAAGUUUCGGUGGUUGGGGAUGGACUCGCGGCUUAUCAGCUUGUUGGUGGGGUAGUGGCUUACCAAGGCUUUGACGGGUAGCCGGCCUGAGAGGGUGACCGGCCACAUUGGGACUGAGAUACGGCCCAGACUGCUACGGGAGGCAGCAGUGGGGAAUAUUGCACAAUGGGCGGAAGCCUGAUGCAGCAACGCCGCGUGCGUGAUGACGGCCUUCGGGUUGUAAACCGCUUUCGCCUGUGACAAAGCGUGAGUGACGGUAAUGGGUAAAGAAGCACCGGCUAACUACGUG
rnacentral:rRNA from 1 species